rnacentral:rRNA from 1 species
AAUUGGAGGGCAAGUCUGGUGCCAGCAGCCGCGGUAAUUCCAGCUCCAAUAGCGUAUAUUAAAGUUGUUGCAGCUAAAAAGCUCGUAGUUGAAUUUCGGGAUCAAUAUUUCGGUCAUGCCGUUGGUAUGCACUGUUAUCAUUGAUUUCUCACCUUCUAAAGAACCGUAAUGCCAUUAAUUUGGUGUUACGGGGAAUUAGGACUGUUACCUUGAAAAAAUUAGAGUGUUUAAAGCAGGCUCACGCUUGAAUACAUUAGCAUGGAAUAAUGAAAUAGGACAUCCGAUUCUAUUUUGUUGGUUUCUAGGAUCGAUGUAAUGAUUAAUAGGGAUAGUUGGGGGCAUUAGUAUUCAAUUGUCAGAGGUGAAAUUCUUGGAUUUAUUGAAGACUAACUACUGCGAAAGCAUUUGCCAAGGAUGUUUUCAUUAAUCAAGAACGAAAGUUAGGGGAUCGAAGACGAUCAGAUACCGUCGUAGUCUUAACCAUAAACUAUGCCGACUAGGGAUCGGAUGAUGUUAAUUUUUUAAUGACUCAUUCGGCGCCUUACGGGAAACCAAAGUGU